UGCUAAGAAGGAGGAAAUAAGCUAUUGCCUUCUUCUAAGGGUUUGAGUUCCCAAAGUAGGGUCUGAAUCGACCUGGGAAGCCGGGACACACGCCAGGAUCCCAGACUCAAAUCGGCUGUUUCCGCUUGGGGAGUCGCUGUUGGAAUGUCUUGUGACGGAGAGAGAGGUGAGACCCUCCGGCUCUUUGUAACAUCAGAGAAAGUUGUGAAGUCUAUACUACUGAACCAAAAGCUGUUAAAGAAAAAAUAAAGUGUGCUAUCAAGCCUUCUAGACAGGUUAUAUGAAGAGAUCAUGAGGACUUUAUAAAAAAUCUCUUGGAACAGAUUCUUAGAAGAGUGAGGGCUGGUCCCAAGAGAAGAUACUUAAAUCCCGUAAAAGAGAAGAUUUUGAAAUGGAACAUCUGGAAUAUAGCAACAAGUAGUGGAUGUGACUCUUACCUCAUUCCUUUGAUUCAUUCCACAUUCAUUUUUUCCCUAGUGUGACAUGGCUGAAAAAAUUUCUUAUUGAUCCCUCAAAACAACUAAUACAAAGAGCAAAAAUACUAAUGAGUCAUCUAGACUGACACAGGGGAUGAGGGUACUGGGCAAGGAUAACAUACCCUUCUACAGAAUCAGGACCUUGUGUGACUCCUUUCCCUUUCUUGGCCUCUGAUCUAAUAUAGAUGGACACUGGUACAGAAGGGGUUAGGGGUGUGGGCUUUGGAGUGAGAGGAACCAUUAAUUGCUGAUUGUAUGAUCUAUGGCAACUUAUUUGUCACGUCCUGAUAAUUAAAGGUGUCUUUUUUUCCCUCAUCUUCCUCCUCUCCCACCUGCUCCUCCUCCUUCUUUUUUCCUAUUAUUCUACUGUACAUCUAAAAUUUGAAUGAUAGAAAAGUGGGUAUUACAUUGCCCACUUUUAUUUUCAUUGCAUGUUCCACAAACCUUUGAUUUUAUAACUUUUCAACUGACAAACAUGAGAAGAGUGAGACAUAUAACAUUACUUUUAUAUUACAGAUAUAGCAUCUCUAAUCAGAUAUAUUAUUCAAACAGUGGACUUCAUUAGUUAGAAGACUGUCAUUAAAAGAAAUCCUGAGCAUAUGAACUGGAAAAUCUAAGAUGCACAUGCAGAUGUUUCUGAGCAUGUAUUUUUUGAAACAUCUGUGUGUAAGGUACAUGGUCACAUACAGCUCACUGUAAUAUCACGUCUAUAGAAUGUAUACCAUCCUACUGACAACUCCCUAAGGGUCAGGUUACUGAAGACAUCUGCCAGAUCAUGCCCUGUUUCCUACAUCCUUUCUGUCACCUUCUACUGUACAGUGGCUCCUUAUAUCUGCUGCUGACUGGCAAGGUGCACUAGAGCAACGUGGUGUGAUGGCUCUCCAGCAUGCAGAUUUCCAUGGUUGAAGUAGCUAGACUCCGAUUGUGUUGUCUGUUAGUGGAUAUCAGCCAAAGCUGGAAGUUGAGACCAAUAGGAUAGAGGUUCCAGGCCAUCCCGGGGAAGAAAAUUACAAGAGACUUCAUGUUGACUGAAGAAGCUUUGGUAUGGAGGCCAGCACUCAGCUACAAUGGGAUGCCCAAGAUGUGAGGAUCAAGUCCUGGUAUAGCAUGGGCAAAAAGUGAGAUCCUAUCCCAAAAGAGCUGGAGGCUUGGCUAAAAGGUUCAUCACCUGCUUGGCAUUUGUGAGUCCCCAAGUUCAAACGCCAGUACUGCCAAAGAAAAAUGUUAAGAAAGCAGCCCUGUCAGUGUGCAAAUCCAUUAGAAAUGUGUAAGGCACUUACAGUAGUUAGAAUCCUGUCUUCUCACAGAGGCUGGACAUCUUAUCUUGUCUUGUUUGCUGGUUACAUUUCAAGGGAAUGACUUUCAGUCUUUGAGGAAGACACUUCUGAGGUGGUGUAGAUUCAUAUAUGAGAGAACCUGGGGCAUGGCUAGGGUGGUAGCUUAAGGCCCCGAGUUCAAACCCCAACACAUUAAAAAAUGGAAAAAAAGAAAUGGAAAAAGACAGUGUGUUGUAAGCUAUUUUUAGUAAGUGUACUAAGACAGGGAGUCAGCUGUUCAUGUCAGGUACUGGACAGAACAAACUGAAUUUAUCAGGAAACCCUGAGCUUUCUCAGGUAGGCUUUUUGAUAGAGAACCUUGGUCAUCCUAGGACCUGCAGGUAGGAGCUUUUCUGGAGUUUGUGUCUGAGUACAGAUAUUUGGUAGGGUUCUUAUAUGCUCAGGGUUCUGCAUUUCUCAUGGGCAUGAGCAAAAGUUUGUAUUUCUUUCAGUCUUGGUAUUCUCUGGAGUCCCACCCUAGCAGUGUCCUCCAGUAAUUCUUUAACAUUAUGUCUAAACUGCAUGUUUAUUUCCUGUAGGUAACAUAGGAAAUACCCUGUCAUUUCCUAGAAUCAAAAUGACAACUUUGUUUUUCAAAUUUUGUAUUUGAAAAAGGUUCAAACAUUCAAAAGGGUAGAAAAGAAUAAAAAGAAGACAUCUUAGAAUGACAUUGCUUCUAGGCCCUUUCCUUAGGCAGAGCUAGGAAGUAGUUGAAAAACAAUAAACACUUUUUGGGUGUACUGGAAUUUGAACUUGGCCUAACACUUGCAAAGCAAGGGAUCUACUACUUAGCCCUUUUCAUUUUUUCUUUGUUUGAUUGUUUUUGUGUCCGUACUGUGGCUUGAA